rnacentral:tRNA from 1 species
UCCUGGUAGUUCAGAUGGUAAAGAACCUGCCUGCAAUGCAGGAGAUCUGGGUUCGAUCCCCAAGUUGGGAA